GGGGCUGUCGGCUAGCUUGGUCUAGGCUCCGAGACUUGGGAGCCAGAGGGAGGGCCUCCAGCAGAGAACUCUCGGGACCCCGGUUCGAAUCCGGGCAGCCCCA
rnacentral:tRNA from 1 species